CAGUUUGGAAUUAUUAAAAUAAAAAAUAAAAAAUUCCCAAAAAUAUAUUCAUAUUGCAGCACAGCCCUACUGCUGUCCAGGUUCCUGUAUGGUGAUUUGUUUACCCGGGGAAGAGAUUUGUCCAUGAUGCAUGAUUGGAAGAAGGCAUGUCUGUGGAAGCAGGGGCAGUGUUCUGCUGGGAAACCUGAUGUCCUGGCAUUCAUGUAGAUGUUACUUUGACACUCUGACUACCUAAACACUGCUCUUCCCGAAAAUCAGUGUCCUUUUUCAGUAGGAUAAUUCUUCCUGCCACAAAACUGGUGUCUAGGAUGUGGGAUGUGCUGGACAAACAAGUCCUAUCCAUAUGGAGACCCCUCUUCACACCUCAUAAAGGAUCUGCUGCUAGCAUCUUGUAUCAGAUACCACAGCACACCUUCAGAGGUCUUGUGGAAUUGCUAUAUGUGUGUUAUCGACAAUACGCUAUAAUGUUAUAAAAGGUUUCAGUUACUUUAACGAUUAUUUAAUAAGAGCAGCGAAUAGAGUCAAUGAUGGAAAAUAACAAGCCAAUGAGCCAAAUAAUUUGCCAUAUAAAUUGUAUCCUUCACUUAUAUCCUACAUUCCAGGAUACUUUGUGGUAGAUUCAUGAUGUUCCAGUUGUUUCCACAACAAAGUAUAGAAAGUCUCAGGGAGGUGAAUGUAGGUUUGUACAGGAUCUGACCUCUUGAUGGCUUAUGGGAGUUUUCAGAUUUGAUCAUCUGUGUGAAAUUAAAUAGUUUCUUCAAUAACUAUUAAAAGGCAUCUGAAAUGUGUUCUCCAGAAGGGGUAGAGCGAUAGAGCGAUGUUUAUUUGCUCAAAAUGUUUAUUUGCUUUUUAAUUUCAAAGUCCAGAGCAUCGUGUUCGUGGAUUUUGUUCUAACUGCUUUCGGACCAGUGAGCCCUGCUGCCUGCGGGCAUCGGAAAAUCAAAGCAGAUUCAAGACACACUGUUCCAGAUGCAGUAAAGCAGCCCCAGUCUUCUCUAUGUUUCACACCAAGCAUCUGCACCUUGUGGUUCUGUGAUUCCGAUAUCCCCGCUUGGGAUCCGAGCGAUUUCCCCCGAUCUGGAAGAGGAUAUGUUGUCUGCAUCAGGCUCUGAGUAGCUCGAUGAAGGUGAGGAGGAGCAUUCCUCUCUAAAUCUGCUACCACUGUCAGUGGCACUCAAGGAGCUCCCCGAUGUUUGAAUAGGAAGUUAGCACUUUGCUCUAAUCUUGAUGACCCCCUCCUGACUUCAGGCCAUGCAAACUCCCACCCCUACCCCGGCAGCUGCCAUUUUUUCCCGACCUGCAUGCCGAGGUAUCGAGAUCCUGGGGGAAUCCUUAGUCUGCACAUCUUUUUUACCGGCCUCCACUAAUUAUUUGGCUGUCGUUGGGCCCGAUUUCACAACAGGGCCUUGUAGACAGGGACCAAGAGGUGAAGCACCAGUCAGGGGUAUUCAGGGAAUUUAUCCCUCAGUGCAGUGAGCACUGCAUGAUGCAGGCAUGUCUGUCUCCUGCUCAGGUGGCUUCUAUACGACUUGGUGCGCAAAGACAGCACUACAGUAGUUUCCUAUAUCAAUUAUCAGGGCGGUCUGCAUUCACGCCCUGUGUUCAGGUUGGGGCAGCGGAUUCUGCUCUGGGCUGAGAGUGAUUUUCAUCCCAGGGCAUAUAAAUCAGGAUGUAGACUUCCUGUUCCUGUUGACCCAUGGAGUGGUGGAGUGCAUCUGGCAUAUUUUCAGCCGUGCGUAAGUGGAUCUGUGUGCCUCCAAGGAGUGGAACUAUUGUCUCCUGUGGAUGGUGCCGAGGCUAUGCUUGUAAACCUUUUCUCCGGGAGUCCUAGCCAGUGUGUCCCACAAUCAGGUCUACCUUCUUCUUGUAGCUCCUCAUUGAUUUUCCUCUUGCAGUCAUGUCCAGGGAGGUUGGCUCAAUAUGUGCAACUGUAGUCAUAGGAACAUCACACUGCUUGGAGAUGGUCUUAUAGCCUUUACCUUAAACAUACUUGUCUAUAAUUUUCCUUCUAAUCUCUUGAAACAACUCUGUCCUUAGCUUUCUUUGGUCCAUGUUCAGUGUGGUGUACACCAUGAUACCAAACAGCACAGAGACUACUUCACCCUGUUUCACCCUAGGACACACUUUAGUUUGAUAAGUCCCUAUGGUCAAACUGUGUUCAAUCUUUUCUAGGGGUACCAUCAUUUUUGUCCAGGCCAGUUUCAUUUAGUUCGAUUUUUAAAUGCUUCUAUUGAACCAUAAUUCAAAAGCAAAAUUCAUUUGGCAAUCAGUAACUUUUUAUUUAUUGUUACUUUUGUCAGUAGUUUCAGUGAGCAUUGUGGGCUUUUCUUUCUUUACUGGAAGGGUACCAAACAUUUUGUCCAAAUCUGUAAUAUUACAUACAUUAUGAAGCACACUAAAUACUAGUAUUAGAAAUUUUUAGAAUUUGAGUUUGAAUGUUCCUGGAAUUUUCCCACAUACUUUGAGUAUUUUGUAGAGAAAUGGUUUGAGCUGCAUGUACAUAUUUUACAUACAGUAUAUGUUUUAUUAGGUUGUG